GUGACAACAGAUUAAAUAUCAGGUCUCUGGGCCUGUUGGAAAUUGAGAAGAAGUUGAAAAUGUAAAUUGUUUAUGACGCCCACCACACGACGCACGACAAUGGACAAAAGGCUAUCACAAUAGGUCAACUUCGUCUCAAACAAUCCCUUUGAAAUCCACUUUUAUUGAUAGCCUCUUUUCUCUAAAAAUUAAUACGCCACUAUAACAGCCAAUCAAAAGCGACGUUACUAAAGGCGGUGUCAUUUCUUUUACGUUGUGAGCUGAUCACAUGAAUUUUGAAACUACACAUACACUCACUUUCAUUCCCUUCAGUUAUAUCUAGUCUAACAACUAUUUAUACAAACAAUACUAAUAACACAACACUUCAUUCUAUACAAUCACUUUCUCUUCAGUCAGGUCUAGAAACUAUUCAUACAAACAAAAGGCAACAAACAUAUACUAUUACAUAAUAUACAACAAACUAGACUUACAUAUAAAUAUGUAUCAAAGUUUUCUGUCAAUCAACACACUCCUGUAAAUACGAAAUCAGUCUCAUUGCUCUGUUCCUGGUAUCACAGUGAUUUCUAGUAAAACCAGUACCAGGUACCAAUAUUGAUGUUAUAACUCAGUCUCAUUGCUCUGUUCCUGGUAUCAGUGAUUUCUAGUAAAACCAGUACCAGGUACCAAUAUUGAUGUUAUAACUCAGUCUCAUUGCUCUGUUCCUGGUAUCACAGUGAUUUCUAGUAAAACCAGUACCAGGUACCAAUAUUGAUGUUAUAACUCAGCCUCAUUGCUCUGUUCCUGGUAUCACAGUGAUUUCUAGUAAAACCAGUACCAGGUACCAAUAUUGAUGUUAUAAAAUAAUUAUGGUUGUUAUUUUUUAACAAAUAUCUUAAAUAUUGAUACCACACAAACAAAAAUAAACAAAUUACCAGGAUUUUAAAACAAUUGUAUCAGCAAUUAUAACAACAAUAAUACACUUCACAUUGUAUUACAUGAGAUUUCACCAGAUAGAAUAAAAUAAAAAUACAUGCACUGGCAAUCUGACUUACAAAAUGUAAUUUACACAAUGUAUGUACUAUUGCCCAUGAAAAAUGCUAACAUCUGACUGCUGGAACGGAUAAUUAAUGUUUCCCCUGUCAGAUCAUAUUAAGGUUGUUUUAUUUAUAAAUAUUCUAUCAUACACGUUGCAAACUGUACAAAUGAUACCAGUGUAUAAUUUUUUUUUCUUGCUAGAAAUCAAACAAAAAUAAAUUUUGUAUCACUUUGAAAUGCCAAUUAAAAUUCCUCACCAAAGAACAAAAAUACAGAUAAGCCAGUACAAGGUACGAAUAUUGAUAUUGUAAAACAAUUUUUGUUGGAUCAGGUUUUCUAAACAUAGAAUGUAUGUUAAAUAUAGAAAACCAAAACAAACAAAAAUAACUAAAAUACUAGGAAUGUACAAGAAACAAACUUCAGGAUUUUUUCUUUUCUUAGUUUAUAAAAGUUUUUAGAUUUCAUUCGAAUUUUUGUUGUUAAAAAAAAAUCUUGCUUAUGUAUUACUUUGAAAUAUCAAUACAAAUAGUUGAUGAAACAAUUUUAAGAUUAGAAAAAACACAUUUCAACAGAAAUCUCUCUCAUAACUUUAAUCAACAUUUUAUCUAUAUGUUAAUUUGCCAAAAAAAAAAUAAAAAUAAUAAAAACAAUUAAAAAUAAAUGAAUGAAAUCAAAUUUAAAAAAAAAA